rnacentral:lncRNA from 1 species
UGUUUCAUUUGCGUCCGCAAUUAAAUUUGUUUUGCAUUUUUACAUUAAUUUAUUUCACUACCUAUUAAACUUAUAUAAUCUAAUAAAAAGAUGACUAAUCAAGAAAGUGGUGUUUAUGUUUUCCCAAAUGGUGACAGAUAUGCUGGUGAUUAUUCACAUCGAAGUGAUGGAUCUAUAAUGAGACAAGGAAUAGGUCAAUACACAUCUAAAGAUGGUCUAA